rnacentral:rRNA from 1 species
AGAGUUUGAUCCUGGCUCAGGAUGAACGCUAGCGACAGGCCUAACACAUGCAAGUCGAGGGGCAGCGGAGAGGUAGCAAUACCUUUGCCGGCGACCGGCGCACGGGUGAGUAACACGUAUGCAAUCCACCUGUAACAGGGGGAUAACCCGGAGAAAUCCGGACUAAUACCCCAUAAUAUGGGCGCUCCGCAUGGAGAGCCCAUUAAAGAGAGCAAUUUUGGUUACAGACGAGCAUGCGCUCCAUUAGCCAGUUGGCGGGGUAACGGCCCACCAAGGCGACGAUGGAUAGGGGUUCUGAGAGGAAGGUCCCCCACAUUGGAACUGAGACACGGUCCAAACUCCUACGGGAGGCAGCAGUGAGGAAUAUUGGUCAAUGGUCGGCAGACUGAACCAGCCAAGUCGCGUGAGGGAAGACGGCCCUACGGGUUGUAAACCUCUUUUGUCGGAGAGUAAAGUACGCUACGCGUAGCGUAUUGCAAGUAUCCGAAGAAAAAGCAUCGGCUAACUCCGUGCCAGCAGCCGCGGUAAUACGGAGGAUGCGAGCGUUAUCCGGAUUUAUUGGGUUUAAAGGGUGCGUAGGCGGCACGCCAAGUCAGCGGUGAAAUUUCCGGGCUCAACCCGGAGUGUGCCGUUGAAACUGGCGAGCUAGAGUGCACAAGAGGCAGGCGGAAUGCGUGGUGUAGCGGUGAAAUGCAUAGAUAUCACGCAGAACCCCGAUUGCGAAGGCAGCCUGCUAGGGUGCGACAGACGCUGAGGCACGAAAGCGUGGGUAUCGAACAGGAUUAGAUACCCUGGUAGUCCACGCAGUAAACGAUGAAUACUAACUGUUUGCGAUACAAUGUAAGCGGUACAGCGAAAGCGUUAAGUAUUCCACCUGGGGAGUACGCCGGCAACGGUGAAACUCAAAGGAAUUGACGGGGGCCCGCACAAGCGGAGGAACAUGUGGUUUAAUUCGAUGAUACGCGAGGAACCUUACCCGGGCU